rnacentral:lncRNA from 1 species
ACCUGAAAAGCUGUCAGUCGCGUCCCAGUCACUCCGGGGACGUCUCCGCUUCAACGGGAGACGUCUCGGCUACAAGAUUUUACUUUUUCCGUUGUCUGGGGUCGACUCAACACUUUCAGGGGACGUCUCGGCUUGUUUGCACUUUUUGAAUGGGGACGACUCCGCUGAUCUGGGGACGACUCGGCUUCUUUAUCUCCGAAGAACAUGUCCUCUGGUAUUUCCUGAGAGAGUCGACUCCGCUCCUUCAGGGGACGUCUCGGGUUGUCUGCACUUUAUGCUUGCGGGGACGACUCGGCUUACUGUGGGGACGUCUCGCGCAUAUCUCUUGAAAACUGCCUUUCUGCCGCCACUGAGAGAGUCGACUCCGCUACUGAGAGAGUCGACUCCGCUAACGCGGGGACGACUCGGCAGGUGUCGGGGACGUCUCCAAGUGUGCCGGUUCUUCCUGUUUGUGCCAGAGACGUCUCUGAAACUAUCCGGAGACGUCUCGGCUGUCCCUGAUCUGUUUUCUUUAACUCAAAAUAUUCUUCAAUAAAUUCAUAAAAAUUAUGGGAACUUGCCUAGACAUUUCUUAACAAUAUUCUCAAUUAAUCACAU